CGAGUCUUUUGGGAAAAAACCAUAACAUUUUUAGAGUUCUAGUUAGAUAAAUCAAAAUGACUAGCGGAAAAGUUACAGCUAUUGCAUUCCUUCUCAUGUUCAUCGUUGUCUGCUCAGACUUCAGCAGUGUAAUGGUAGCCGAUGCUGCUAAGUGCUGCGGCGAAAACCCGAUGGCUAACUGCAACGACGACGCUUGUAACACUUUUUGCAUGGAAAGUUGCGGGGGUGGACUAUGUAAGGUGAGAGGUGGGAAACGUGGAUGCCACUGCAAGUGUUAAGAGAUGGCCUUCACCGUGGCAUAGGCAUACACAUGGAUUUUAUUUUUUAUUUUUUGAUAAAAGAACAUCCGUUCACCUUGCUUAUGGAUAUUUUUUGUAGUGAAAAAUGACUACUUAGAUAUGUAAUAGUGCAAGUUUCUUAAGAAUAAUAAAACGGUGCAAGUUUCUACA